GAAAACAGACACGAACACGUGACAAGCCUCUUUAAUUUUCAUCGUUUCAAAGCCACCCACGAAGCCCUUCUUCUCUAACCUUCCAGAAUUAUCUAUCAUCUAAAUCCCCUACAACCCAACCUUCCCUCUUCUCCAGCCCCCUUUUUAUAGGUAUCCCCUGUUCUUCCAAUUUUCUUCGAAAUUUUCCUAUGUCUUGGAUGAACCUGUUUAUCACUGAAACCGCCAUUUUUUUGUUACUUGGUUAAGAUUGGGUAUUGUUUCAGGGAAAAAUGGGCCGCUCAAGCCGCACGCUCUAUGUGGGCAAUCUGCCUGGGGAUACUCGUAUGAGAGAAGUUGAAGAUUUAUUUUACAAGUAUGGACCCAUUGUUGAUAUUGACUUGAAGAUCCCACCAAGGCCCCCUGGUUAUGCAUUUGUUGAGUUUGAGGAUCCUCGUGAUGCUGAAGAUGCAAUUCGUGGUCGAGAUGGUUAUAACUUUGAUGGGAAUCGUCUAAGGGUUGAACUUGCUCAUGGUGGGCGAAGACCUUCAUCUGUGGAUCGUUAUAGUAGUUACAGUGGUAGCAGUAGCCGUGGGCCUUCCAGGCGCUCUGACUAUCGUGUUUUGGUGACUGGUUUACCUUCUUCUGCUUCAUGGCAAGACCUAAAGGAUCACAUGCGAAAAGCUGGGGAUGUCUGUUUCUCUCAAGUGUUUCGUGAUCGUGGAGGCAUGACAGGGAUUGUAGAUUACACGAACUAUGAUGAUAUGAAAUAUGCUAUAAGGAAGCUUGAUGACUCUGAGUUUCGAAAUGCAUUUAGCCGGGCUUACAUACGGGUGAAGGAGUAUGAUUCAAGAUAUGAUUCUAGGCGCAGCUACUCUAGAAGUCCUAGUCGUAGCCCAUAUAGUCGAAGCCCUAGUCGCAGUUAUAGUUAUAGGAGCAGGAGCAGGAGCAGGAGCAAGUCUCCAAGGGCCAAAUACUUACGUCGGUCUCUAUCUGUAUCAAGGUCCGUCUCACCUCGUUCCCGUUCAGUGUCACCUGCCCGCUCCUAUUCAAGAUCUCGCUCUUUGCGGCAAUCCGGGGAUUGGAUGUUAGGAACUUGAUGGGAUGUGGUGCUCAAAUGCCUGCAACUCAUUUAUUUUUUGGUUGAGGUAAAUUUAUUGUUGUUGUAGAGCACCUCCGGGAAAACCAUUAAAGGUCUAAAAUUUCUGAUAUGUGAUGUAUGGAGCGCAAAGAGAGCUAAACUGGAUCAGCAUGUUAGGAUGAGUAGCGAUUGUAAAGGGGAUGACUAUGAUUUAAGUGCUUUUACUUUUGCCACUCAAUGCUUGACCAUCAGGGUCUCUACUGUGCCACUCUUUGAAUUUGAGGAUAUGCGUAUCUGUGCCCCUAUUCAUUGUGGUUUGAUCUUUAGCUAUCAUAAUAAGCUUGUAAAGGAAAAGAUAUUUUACUGAACAGUGAGAUCAUUAAAGUAAUAAUUCUCCUUCCGCUGGUUGCUCUGGUUAAGAUGGGUGAUAUAUUCGUAAUAUGGAAGUGAUGAUGAGGCCUUGGGACCAAAAAAAGGUAGUAGAGGAAUUUCUGGAUAUUGAAAUCAUUGUUUGUGGAACUUUUUGCAGAUCUCGAUCGAAAUCAAGAUCAAUCACUCCAUCUCCUUGCCCACGAAAACGCAGUCCAAGUAGGAGCCGAAGUGUAACUCGUUCUCAUUCACCAUCUG